GUGGCGAACGGGUGAGUAAUACAUCGGAACGUGCCUAGUAGUGGGGGAUAACUACUCGAAAGAGUGGCUAAUACCGCAUGAGAUCUAUGGAUGAAAGCAGGGGACCUUAGGGCCUUGUGCUACUAGAGCGGCCGAUGGCAGAUUAGGUAGUUGGUGGGAUAAAAGCUUACCAAGCCUACGAUCUGUAGCUGGUCUGAGAGGACGAUCAGCCACACUGGGACUGAGACACGGCCCAGACUCCUACGGGAGGCAGCAGUGGGGAAUUUUGGACAAUGGGCGCAAGCCUGAUCCAGCAAUGCCGCGUGCAGGAUGAAGGCCUUCGGGUUGUAAACUGCUUUUGUACGGAACGAAAAGUCUUGGGUUAAUACCCUGGGAUCAUGACGGUACCGUAAGAAUAAGCACCGGCUAACUACGUGCCAGCAGCCGCGGUAAUACGUAGGGUGCAAGCGUUAAUCGGAAUUACUGGGCGUAAAGCGUGCGCAGGCGGUUUUGUAAGACAGUGGUGAAAUCCCCGG
rnacentral:rRNA from 1 species